UUUUUGUUGCGUUUGGCCCAGAACAGUAGUACCUGACCCACGACGCUCAUAGAAAAAUUGAAGGGAAUAGGACCCACGAAAUCUGUCGUUGCAAGCGCAAGCCUUGGGUGGGCAUAAUGCGAAUUCUUAGCUGGAGCUAAAAUUAGCCAGCUCAAAAAUAUAAGGAAAAUACCGGGUAAAAUUAAUCUAGAGCAACUCCAAGAGUUAAUUUAUAUCCUUUCUUUUUUUUAUAGGAAUAGAGAUCUUGAUGAAAAGAUAUCCUUCAAUAACUUUUUAUUAAGUUUCCAAAUAUUAUCAUUCUCUAUUCCGAAUUUCUCGCUAGUCAGUCGAAAAUAGAGAGAGGAGUUGGUACCUAGAGUGUGAACAAGAUAUAAAAAAAUUUGUUCGAGGAUGAAAAUAUGUAAAUGUAUGAGUAUAUUGUCAUCCUCUAAUAUGAAUUCUUCAAUAUCUUGUCUGCACUCUAGAGAGCCAACUCCGGUCUCUAUCUUUGGUUGCGAGAAAUCUAGAAUAUAGUAUAUUAACUAGCAAAUUUGCCAGUGUGUGGCAAAAGGGAAAAAAUCUAGCAAAUGCUAAUGGAAAAUAACGACAGAUAAAAAAUAAAUCUAUAAUUCAUUUUAUGAUGACCGACAUCUAUAAUAUAAAGUUAAUGUUGGCGAUAAUAUAAUAAUGUUCUAUUAAGCCAUGUCAAAUUAAAAUACAAAACCUUCACAACUUUUUUACCCAUUGCAAAACACAAAAAUAUUUAAACAUAAAUAUGUAAUAACUUUAUUUUUGAUGGUAUCCAGUGUUGUGUUGCUAUAGUUAAAUACUGAGCUUCUUGGUUUUCUUAGAGAACCCAUAAAUAUGUAAUAAUUAUAAUUCCAAUCUCUGAUCAAAAUUGACAAGAAGUUAGUUGUUGAUGUGUCAUCGGUGAUUAUGAUGAGAGAUGUCUCUUGAUUUUUUAUAUAACACCCCUCAUCGAGGAUUGUAGAGAUAAAUCUAUUUAGACCGGAUUAGUAAACAAAAUGCUUAAGAUUUCAAUUCAUGAUGUGAUUACAUUGGCUGAUUUUAAUAAGGAUAAGUUUUUUUUUAUAUUCAAAACUAUAUCAAUAAAUUGAAAAUUUUAAAACCACUGGCCCAAAAGGAAAGAGCUAAAACAUAUGCUAAAAAGGAAGAAAGAUUAAAACCAAGUGGGACAUAUAUUUGGGAUAUGUUAAACAAAAAUAUUAUAGGCUACAGAAAGGACAAGCCCCGUAAAAAGGAAGAAUCCGAAAAAAGGAAAAAAAAAUGAGUCCAACAAAAUGGAACAAUCGGAAAAAAUGAAACAAGAAAAGAUAAGAAGUUUGUAUUGCGGUGGACACAGAAGAAGAGAUUUUUUAAUUUUAACCCUUUUUUAAAAUAAAUUUCAAAUUUGACAUUUUUUUUUCAAAAACUAAUUCUUUUGGCCACUCUUGAAGCCAUGGCGGUGCCAUGCAUGCUGAUGUGAUGGACCUGCCGCGCCAGAGAUCUUGAAGUAGUGUGUUUUCCAUGACCCCCUAAUAAUAAGGAAAAAGAAAAACCCUAACGGCCGUACAGCUGUCGUGAGUUGCGACAGCACCCGGAUCUGUAGUAUCGGUGUGUUUUCCAUGACCCCCCUAAGGCCUUGUUUAGUUUCCAAAAAUUUUGCAAAAUAUAAAUAGUACCACUUUCGUUUGUAUUUGACAAAUAUUAUUCAAUCAUGUACUAACUAGACUUGAAAGAUUUGUCUCGUCAAUUCCGACCAAACUGUGUAAUUAGUUUUUAUUUUCGUCUAUAUUUAAUACUUUAUGCAUGUGUCUAAAGAUUUGAUGUGACGAAAAUUUGAAAAAUUUUGUAAAUUUUUUUGAAACUAAACAAGCCGAGUUGCGACAGCACCCGGAUCUCCGCUCUUCCCUCCUGCGUUUACUUCUUUCCUUCUUUUCUUGGUUCACAAGCCAAAAUGAUCGGCGUCCGGCGCCUCGGCUCCCUGCUCUCUGGUGACCAUCACAGCCGUCCACGUUCACGGGCCCACAAUCCCGAUGCUGUACGUACCCGGGGUUCGGGCGUGCAUGUACGAACGUGGCAAAUGGGAGUCUCCGUGUAUCCCUGAUUCCCUAAUUCGCCCCUUCAUCAUAGUCUAAAUUAGCAAACUCAUCCCCUAAAUGAGAGUCUCCGUGUUCUGGAGUACUUUAUUUGUAGGUGCUGCGAAGGUUACGUUAUUUGGCGUUCAAUUGAGGGUUGGAAUGAAAAGUAGGCAUAGGCACGACGACGCAGGGAAAGGCUUUCGUGCGUGCUGUACUCCGCUAGUACUCCUAUAUUAGGCUCGCCCGGAAGGCGAGGAGGGCGCCCUCGUCCCCCCGUCCGCCGCCGAGUGUUUUGGGAAGCGAGCAAACCGCUCCUCCCCAUCCUUGUUCACAUCCCACGUCGACGCGAUCGAGGGAGUCCGGGCUGUUGCCAGCGAGCGAUGGCGAGCAACGGCUUGUCGCUGGUGCGCCGAGCCGCCGAGGCGGUGCGCCGCACGCCGCGAUGGAAGAAGGGGCUCGUCUUCUUCGCCGUCGGGUGCGCCCAGCGGCCUCACCUCUCCUAUGCAUUCCCUUGUUUUGUUUUGUUUUGUUUUGUUUUUUGACCAUGUGAUUUUUUCCACCCCCGUUGCUAGUUGAUUGAUUGAUACGUCAACCGCGCCGCCGUCGUGCUGCGUUGGGCCGUGUGCUUUGGUGCAUUCUGCCACCAUGGCUUCCUGAAUUCCUGUAGUUUCAUUAACUUUUUUUUUUGAACUCAAUGGCAGGAGUUCUGCCUUUCAGCUAAGUAGAGGAGCAAAAAACUUUAGUUUCAUUAGUUUUCGCUGAGCUUUUCCCUUUAGUUCCGGGCUCGGAGCAACGGCGUUUAGGAGAGUUUUUUUUUAAAAAAAAGGUUAUUCGGCCGGUCGAUUGAAUUUUAAAUUUCUUGGGUAUAUUUUUUUCUUUUGCGAAUAUAAUUUCUUCGAAUGAUGACCUGUAACACAACAGUUUUGUUACGCCAUCGUAGAUCCCUCUCCGCUAUUUCGUUUCCUUAACAUUCAUUCCUUAAAACAACGCUGGGUGCAGUCCGUAUCAAAACAUUGUGAAAUGUGCUAGAAUGCAUGAUAGAUUAGUAAAUGGAUCUAAUCAUUCUCCUGCUGAUAUAUUCUGUUGUUUAUGGGGUCGGAAACAAGGAUUUUGUGAUCUUAAAUUACCAAUCUUGCAAUUUACUCUGGUAGAUGAGCAAUAUAUGAAAAAAUGUGAAUCAGAUCAUGCUUCCUUAUUAGCCUGUUUCGUGUUUGAAUUUGCCUGGUAAGAGCAUCUCCAACCAUUAUGCAUUUGAAGUUAUGCAUUUUAAGCAAAUUGCAAACCCCUAAAUGAGAAUGGCAAGGCUAAAAUCGGGUGAUCUCCAACCGUUAUGCAAAAUGCCAAGUCGAUCCCGCGCCAAACUUCCCGCGGCACUGCAUCCCGCGCGGCACUCCUUCCACGCGCGGCCAAACAGCCCGCCGCCGGUCUCCACGUUCAGCUCGCCGCCGUCGCCCUAAACCCUAAACGACCUAGGAGCCGCGGCCAUGCUCCGAUCCACGCUCAGCUACUCUAUAUAUGAUGAAUAUGCAUGAUUACCUGGCCGGCGUUGAUGAGAAAGGCUUCGUCGCGAGCGAAGCUGUCGAAGAGGACGCGCGAAGCUUCUGUAUCGCGCGAAGUUUGUGGCGGCGCGAAGCCAAACCGCGCGAAGGGAGGGGUUUUGCAUAGCCGGACUCCUUUGGCAUAUAUGCCAAGUUUCCCCCUCCAAAUGCAUAGCUAUGUAAAAUGCAAAGUCCAAAUGCAUAACGAUUGGAGGGGUUUUUUUUGGAGUUUUAUGCAUUUUGGUAAAUGCCAAGUCCAUUUGCAUAAUGGUUGGAGUUGCUCUAACUGAUGUAUGCCAAUUUUUAGAGUGGGUUCUCCAGGUAUUUAACUUGAUUUAUAUUGUUCAUGUAUUGUAACACUCUGUGUGCUUACUAUUAUUGGUCAUUGAGAUUGAGUGAGAUGAUAGAAGGUGAAAAUUUUCAUUUAUCUUCCUAUACCUGGAGAUGUGAUUCUAAUUAUGAGCAGUAGUAUAGCUUUGGUUCAUUCUACUGCCUUGUGAAUAUGAUGCUUCCAGAAUUCCUAAUAGUUUCACCUUUUCGUAACAUGUUUUUUUCAUAAACUUCAGCUUUAGGCUUGGAGCAUUGUUAAGCAUAUAUUUGUUUUUCAUUUGGCCAAUCACAUGGAUUUUUAAAUUGCUUCGGUUGAUAUUAAACUUUGUAAAUAUGUCACAUUGUUACAUAAUUGUAAAUCUCUCUCCACUGAUCCAUUGUUCUGCGCUUGGUUUGUUAAAACCACACAAUAUUUGCUUAUUGAAGUCAGUGUGAAAACCAUGUUAAAAUAUGUGCCAGGUUUUGUAUUCGUGAGUGUUAGGUCUCAUACAAUAAUUUUGUGAUUUCGAAUUUAUGAUCCAGCAAAUUACUUGAAUAUUUCUGGAACAUGAUGCAUGCAAUUCAAAUCAGACCGUCCUUGUUUCACACUUUAUUCUUGUUGUUUUGUUGAUGAAUUAACCUGGUACUUUUCGAAUCUGGGAUUUAUUGAGCCGGCAGUAGGUGCUCUAGAUGUUUAAAAUUGUUACAAUGUCUCAUGAGAAUGAAUUAUGUACUGCAAUGUCAAUGCUAUGCGUGAAUAUGCUUUUUAUUAUUUGUCAUAUAGUUAAUGAGAUAGCAGAAAAAUUUUUUAGUUCCUCUACCUGGAAUGUGUUUCUAAUUCCUCAGCAUUACAUGUAGUUGUUCACCAUGCUGUUUGAUGGUCACUAAAAAGUAGCAAACGGUUUUUUUUUUUUUGGAAUUGUUUCUUGGGUUGCAUAAGAAAAACAAUCUUUAGCCCUUGUACUAAAACACUUCUAUUAUGAAUCUCAGAUGUGUGGAUAUAUCAGGAAAUAGUGUCAAGGAAACUUCAGUUUUAAAUGUUAUGACAAUCCAACAGGCACACUUGACUUUUUUACUUAGUGCAGUGUCAUUUCACUUUAUUUCAGGAGUGACACUUUUAACUUUUUUUUUUGUAGAGCUAGCACCUUAACUUUUGCUUGUCAAGAUAAUCGGGUUCUUCAAAUUUGUGAUGGGACUGGAAACAAGAAGAAGGUGGUUAUCCUUGGAACUGGUUGGGCAGGUGCAAGUUUCUUGAGAAAUAUCGACACAUCUUUGUAUGAGGUCCAUGUGGUAUCACCUCGCAAUUACUUCACCUUCACUCCUUUGUUGCCAAAUGUGACAUGUGGCACAGUAGAAGCACGUAGUAUCGUGGAGCCAAUUCGCAAUAUCGUGAGAAAGGUAUGUCCAUAUAGUUCUAAAACGGAAUAUGCUCCAAAUUUGUAGUACUUGAUAUGAUCAUUUUUCUAAUUCUGUGUCAGUAAAUAGGAUAUAUUAUGGACGACUGUACAAUUGAUAUGUAUAAUAAAGUGCUAGUUCUGCAACUGAUUUCUGUAUAACAUUCUGUAGAGAAAUGGUGCAUUCCGAUUUUGGGAGGCUGAGUGCUUCAAGAUUGAUCCAGCAAACAAAAAAGUCCACUGCAGAUCAGAUGUUGGGACGAACAUUAAUGGAAAUGGCGAAUUUGUUGUGGAUUAUGAUUACUUGAUUGUCAGUGUUGGGGCUAGACCUAAUACUUUCAACACCCCUGGUGUUACUGAGAAUUGCCAUUUCCUAAAGGUAAGUACUGUAAGGCCUAGUGAAGCAAUGAAGUACCUACUUGAAUUUACAAACAAAGGUUUUGCAUGCUCUUUAUUUACUUUUAUGUAGAUUCCAGAUUUUACCUUGGGUCCUACAACUUUGAUCAAGUUUUUAGAAAAAUACAUUAACAUCUACAAAGUUCAAAUAAAUGCACUAUCAAGAUAUGAUUUAUGGAGAAUUUUUAAUGGAACUAAUUUGAUGUUGUAGAUAUUGGUGCUUUUUUCUACAAACUUGGUCAAAGUUAGUGAAGUUUGAUUUAGAGCAAAGCUAAAUUUUAUUAAUUGGUUUACUUGUCGUGUUUAUCAAUUACCUGCUGUUUUAUGUGGUGAUCAUAACCUUUUUUUAAUAUAUUUUGUACAAUUGAGUGGCUUUUGAUAGUGUCACUAUUGUAGGAAGUAGAAGAUGCUCAAAAGAUCAGGAAGAGUGUCAUGAAAUGUUUUGAAAGAGCUGCCCUUCCAAACCUUUCUGAGGAAGAGCGAAAGAAGAACCUUCAUUUUGUUGUCAUUGGUGGUGGCCCAACAGGGGUUGAAUUUGCUGCAGAGUUGCACGACUUUGUGAAUGAAGACUUGGCAAAGCUGUAUCCUGAUGUAAAGAAGUAUGUAAACAUUUCAGUAAUUGAAGCAGGAGGUCAUAUCCUUACAAUGUAAGUUAGUUCGAUGCUUUUAACCCCUUUGAUGUUUACUUCACUCAUUCUAAUUAACCCACAGGUAUAUUGUGGAGACAACAAAUGAAAUGGUUAGACGUGUCUUUGCUCUUUUUUCUUUCUUUUGCAAUAAAGAACAAACAAGUGUUUCUGAAGAUUUGGUGUCUCAUAAUUGCUAUUUUUUAUGUGCCGUUUCAUAUGUUUAUGCAGUUAUAAUAUGAAAGGUUCAAGAAAAAUCUCCUGAAUCAGUUUAUAUGUUUAAUGCACCUGUUGUCUCCUGAUAUCUUAGAUCUGUUGCAAUCUUUUUAUAAUAUUUGAUGGUUUAUUUAGGUUUGACAAAAGAAUCACCCAAUUUGCUGAAGAGAAGUUCAAGAGGGAUGGCAUAGAUUUGAAAACAAAUUUUAAGGUCGUGAAGGUGUCUGAUAACGAUAUUACCAUGACCAAUACUGCUACAGGAGAGGUCACUGUUCCUUAUGGGAUGGCAGUUUGGUCAACUGGAAUUGGAACCCGUCCCAUAAUUAUGGAUUUCAUGAAGCAAGUUGGUCAGGUAUAGUAUAUCGUGUAUUCUUGUUCUCCUCCAUUCACGAGUGAAAAAUGUCCAUGUACACACCAAGUUCAAUAUCAACAUGACUUCUGCAGGGGAAUCGGCGUGUGCUAGCUACUGAUGAGUGGCUUAGGGUUCAAGGGUGUGAGGAUGUAUAUGCUCUUGGUGAUUGCGCAACAAUUGCUCAAAGAAAAGUUAUGGUACGUUGCUAUUGAAGUUUUAAAGCAUGUUAUACCAAUAAGCACACCAUGAGUAUGCUACCUAUUUAUCAAAACUCAUGGCCUCCUCUCUUUGUUGAUUUGUUGAAACUGACACCUGCAUCUAGCUUGUUCUUAAGAAUGGCAACUGUGUGUGUUGUCUUUACCUUUUUUUAUAAUCUCUCUAAUACCAAAAGUAUCUGCUGUCUUCACACAGAGAGGAACCAAUUAGAAAAUUGUUGUUGCUUUAGUGUUGAUUUCCUAGCUGCUGAUAUGUCUGUUUUGUGAACACAAAUACAAAUACAAAUACUUUGUAUCAAAUAAAUUUUGUAUUGUGUCAGCUAGCACAAUCUUCUUACAUGCAUGUUUAAAGGGAUGUAUUAAUGGAUUUUUCAGUAGUAUGCUGCUCCAAUGUUUUGCCUAGCAGAAAUCAAUUAUAUUACUUGCGGUCAUCUUUAUAUGACAUUUCAGGCUGCAAAAUAAAACUGCAAGCAGGUCAAAAUCGCUUUCUGAAAUAUCAUAUGAAGCUGACUGGGUGCUUACAUAUUUAUUGGGCCAUAUUAACUUUUUCAGGAAGAUGUUGCUGCCAUAUUCCGAGUAGCAGACAAGGAUAACUCUGGCACUUUAACUGUGAAGAAAAUAAAAGAUGUUCUUGGAGACAUCUAUGAGAGAUACCCGCAAGUGGAAUUGUAUCUUAAAUCCAACCAAAUGAAGGGCUUCCACGAUCUACUUAAAGACUCGGAUGGUAGCUCCAAGGAGUUGAAAGAACUGGAUAUCGAACAGUUCAAGAAGGCCCUGGCUCAAGUGGACUCUCAAGUCAAGAUGCUCCCAGCAACAGCUCAGGUAUUCACGUGUAGCUUUAGAGGCGAGCUGACUCAUCGAGUUCAGAGAGUGGAAAGAUCACUUCUGUAAUUUAUGUGCUAACCUCGCACUGCUUGUUGGUUCAGGUUGCCUUACAAGAGGGACGUUACCUAGCAGACUGCUUCAACAGAAUGAAGACGUGUGAAGAAUAUCCUGAGGGUCCUAUAAGGAUCAGAGGUACAGGGCGCCAUCGGUUCAAACCUUUCAGGUCCGUUUUCCAAACUUUUAUAUGCCUCCACAUGGAGGAAGUAAAGUAACUGAUCUAGAUUACUAAAUUCUGUCAAAAACAUACAUGUAACUUUGCUGUACUUGAUGGUUGAUAUGUGUAACUGGAUGUUACUUCCAUUUGCAUGGCUAUGAUUGUUCAUCCGGAACCUAGCAAUUACUAAUUUUUGUCUUGUGAUGUACAGGUACAGGCAUCUUGGGCAAUUCGCCCCACUGGGUGGAGAGCAAACUGCUUAUCAAUUGCCUGGUGACUGGGUACAUGUUGGACACAGCACCCAAUGGCUUUGGUAUUCUGUCUAUGCAAGGUAUGUUCUUGUUCCGGUCUCAGUAUGUGCUAUCUUAGAUAUCUAAUUGAAUGCUGGUUUUUAUUGUCGUUUGCUCUUGUUAAAUACAGCAAACAAUUCAGUUGGCGUACAAGGAUGCUGGUCGUAUCAGAUUGGGGGAAGCGGUUCAUCUUUGGAAGGGACUCAAGUAGCAUAUAGAUUCAAAUCUCCCGAUUUCGUAGUCCACCUACGUUCUAGAUGGAACAUACUGAGAGAUUCUUGCAUCAGUUUUGCUGCCCCAGUAUUUUGGAAGCUUAGCCUAGCAAGGUUUCUGAUACCAAAUUUUGACCUUGCCAAUUCUUUUGUUACCUCGUGAUGCACACUGAGCGAUUCAGAUGUUAUUCGUUUUGCCUUGGACAUAUGCAUUUGUUUUUGAUGUAGGGCAAUAGGGCAAUAUGUUAUCUGUUUUGAUUCUGUCAGUUUUGAGUUAUGUUGCCACUGGUGGUCAAGUAUAUAUUUUUGCUAGGUUUCUUAUCACCUUUAUAUUGGUGCCUAUAUGCCUGAUGAGAAUCUGCUGCAUUUCCCCCCUAGCGUGUAAACAUGUACUCAAUCCAUCCCAAAUUAUAAAACGUCUUAUAAUUUGGGAUGGAGUAACUGUUAUUAGGCUGCUGCACAUGCACCUUAAGAAAACCAGUCAACUAAACCAGUAGCAAUGCCGACUCAACCAGUAAGUCCGUACACAUGGAGCUAGAAUGCUCGAGUUCUUUCUGCCAUUCACUCACUUGCUAGCUGAAGACCCUCUAGAGAACCAUUCUGCUUCAACUCGCUGAACAGAAGCCCUUCCUCCUGUCGCGUCUCAGUCACAGCAGGUCGUCCUGGUUGGGCUUUGGCGACGUGAGCAGCGCGGUAUAGAGGCGGAGCUUCUCCUCGCCGAGCGACGAGCACCGCGACAGCGGCCGGCGCGGUCGGAUGAAGGACAGCGACGCGAGCGUCUUGCGGUGCUUGUACCGGCGCCACGCGAGCUGCACCGCCACGGCCGCCCACGUGCGCCACCCGGGCGAGUAGUAGCGCGCGCUGCGCCGCACCUUGUCGUUGGUGAAGGUGUACCGGAAGUGCUGCGUGACGUACUUGACGUCCGCGGCGUCCAGCCCGAAGGCCUCCGUGCUCUCCAGCGUCGUCAGCGUGGACGACGACGCCGGCAGCCGCUCCAGGAACGGCCGGCGCAGGCACCACGACAGCAGCUCGUCGCCGCUGAAGUUGCCCGGCCCCAGCAUGCAGCAGCUCUCGGCGCCGUUGCGGAGCACCUGGCUGCUCUGCAGGUGGCCGCGCACGAUGAACAGCAUCCUCUUCACUGGGUCCCCUUCUCUGACAAUCUGACGAGGCAUAAACAGAGAUCAAUAUAAUCUCGGAGGGUUUUUUUUUUCUUUUUUGGCCAAAAUUAAUUUGCAGACAGUAAAGGGAAACCAAGCCAGCCAUGUUGGUUGGUCGUUGCGCUUACAACUUCUCCUUUGGGGAAUAUGAGGGACUUGACCCUGUCGCAGAUGUUCUCGAGCACCAGGUCGUCCAUGUGUUGGAACAGUGGCACCUGCAUGCGGUUGUGCCGCUUGCCGCAUCAGUUACGCGACGGGCACGUGAUGCACCAGUACGUGCACGGCCAAAACUGACGAGACGUCACGCCCCGUCGUCGGUGUCGGUGCGUGCGUUUGCUACGUACCUGGCGCACGAGGCCGAGGCAGAGGUGGUACUUGAUGUCCCGGCGGAGCCCCUCCGGCAGGUCACGGACGAUGCGGCACUCGUCGACGCCGCGCGUGGCCGCCCACCGCUGCCGCUCGUACUGCCGCACCCGGUGCCGGUAGCUCCUGGGCAGGUUCUUGCGCUUCAUCCACAGCUCCACGCCCCGCAGCCGCGUGUGCAUCGCCUGCUUCUUGGACGUCGUCGCGUUCAGGAACACCUGUGCCGUUCGCGUCGCAUGCAUCGAGCAUCGUCAGCCAAAGACGAUCGUACAGCGAGACGACAUGCAUGCACCCCCUCAUCCCUAUUUUGAGUGACCGUGACCGCUUCGUUAUUUAUUAUUACCUUGAUGUUCCCUAUGAGCAUUGUCACGAGAAUGAGUCCGCCGGUGAUGGUGAUGAUGUUGAACACGAUCUCCAGCCACUCCGUCGUGCUCUCCAGAUUCCCAAAGGUGCUGAGCAGCACCAGCAGAAGCAGUGAAACAAAUUCACACAAUCAGUAGCCAGGCCAAGUUACUGAAACCAUGGAUCCAUAAUAUGCAUCGUCGAUCGGGCCAAUAACGAAGCGAUAGUCUGCGCGACCAGCAUUCUCACCUGAGAGUCAUUAGUCCCCAGAAGAUGGGGAGCAGAAUCCUCUCGACCCUGCUGGGGUUGGCCACCAGCAUGACCGUCCACUGGUAGGCCCCGUACUGGUAGUUGUCGGCGCUGUCGAGGCACGUGCCCCUGGCCGUGGCGUUGCCGGCCCAGGCGAGCCUGUCCGCCCCGACGGUCACGCCGCGCCCGUAGUAGAGCGGCUCCGCGCACGCCAGCGCCCACGGCGCGCACCCGCUCCCGCCGGCCUGGGCGCACUGCUCCCUCAGGCACUUGGUGGCCCGCUGCGCGCCGAGCAGGUACCAGCACGCGCCCACCGCCUGCAACCAAGAAUGGCAUGCCUAGCUGUCACAGAAUCAUGGCAUCGCAGGCGUCGUCUUUCGCCGAGAAGCCAUUAGUGGUAAGAUGCUCGUGCAUUCACGACAAAAUGCCUGGUCACGUUUGCCUUUGUUAGCCUUGGGAGGAUGCGGUGGUUGGGCAAGGAGUACGAUCGAUGCUAUUGACUUCCAUGCACCGACGAGCUAGACGAGUUCACCGAAAUGUGUAAGCCGUCGUCGUCGUCGUCGUCGUCGAGGAGCAAUAGUUUAGCUUCGACGGACACAUCAGCCAGUAUGCCGCAGGAGAAGACGAUGGUGAAACGAGAGAGGACGGACGGGACGACUCACGUGAGCGGCGACGAAGUAGGCCAUGAGGUUGAGGGCGAUCCCCCACCAGAUGGUGCCGAAGAGGUAGCCGGAGAAGUCCUGCAUCCGGCGCAGGACGCGGACGGAGUGGUAGAUCUUGGGCAGGUACUCGAGCAGGAACGCCACCAGCAGCACGGUCAUGACGGCGGUCGUCGACCCGGCGCGUAUCAUCGCCGGCGACGCCACCCAGACGACCACCUGCGAACGCACAAAAAUGGUCACGCGGACAUGCAUGCAUCACUGACAUGCAUGGUACUGGUAGUACCACUGAAAAGAUGAUGACGAGGCCGCCGGCGUCCACGGUCCACAGUUCCAAGUGGGGUGCGGUGCAGUGCAGUACAUAGAUCAUUUUGCCUCGUUGGAAAGAAGUUUAAAUCUGCAUUGAUUGAUGGAACGCAUUGUUGGUUGGUUCACAUCGAUUGAUGAACGGGCCCAAUCUGGCAUCGUCCAGCAUGCAUUGCAGGCUACUGAAUUGCGCAAGCACAAUGGUCCCAUGCAUGCAUCCUGCAACGCCACGCCGAUAAAACGAAACCGGCUUUCGUACGUGCGCAGAUCGCUGCUUGAAAUGACCCUCUAAAACCGCUGGAAAUAAUCGGCAUCCCAGGUCGCAGCACGUUACUGGAUGCAGAGCGCCAGAGCGGCAGUCGCCAGAAAGAUGGCGGAGGUGGGACGUGCCCAGUGCUCCGAGGAGCAGCGGAUCACAUGCAGCUAUUUGCUCGGCAUUCGGCAGCAUGUGAAAAGUCUGGCCUGUGGCUUCAUCUUAGGCAAUUCGGUUGGAAGGUUUCUGAGUAAUCCGUUAGUGAUCUUUGUUUCGUUCUUCAGAAUGUAAAAUGGGUUGAAUGCUCUUCGUUGCUGGUGUCCCCAGCAGGACGAUGUACACGGUAAAGUCUUGGAUCACAUGCAGCCCAUUUGCUCGGCGGAAUGUGAUGGGGAAAAUGCGAUGCCGCAUUCAGCAUGCUGCCACGGAAUGGAAGGUAGGAGUGUGGUUUAUGAGGGACUAAUGGACGUUGACAAUGUCGAAGGCUCCAAAAUUCUCCGUUGUUUCAGUGACCCUUUUUUAGACAAGGUUUCCAAUCUGUCAGUAUGGAGUAUGGAAUGGAACGUUGCUUACCGAGGAAAUUCAUACUAAAAUGGCGUGCUCCGGAAAGUUUAACUAUGAUGAGUACAGAGUAUUUGUUAUAGAAAUAAAUAUAUUUUCAAUCUUUCAGAUAGCACAAAAAAAAUCCGUUGCGUUCAUCAUGUGUCCACCAACAAAUUCUUCUCCUUUUCUAUCGUUUUUGCCCAAGAAGAGACAGAUGAAAGUACUAGCAUUUCAGUUUUCAAAGAAGACACGAGAACCAUGCACGGAUAGGGACCGACGGCGCACCUGCAUCACCGGUAGGAUGACCAGCACGUCCAAGAAAACCCCCUUCUUGGACCUCCCCCGUUGCGGCACGCCGCCGGCGCCGCGUGCGUCGUCGCGCCCCGGCUGCGCCCCCUCCUCGUCCGUGUCUUCCCGCCUCGGCGAUGAGCACGCUUCCCGGAGCUGCAGCAGCAGGUUGGCGGCGUGCAUGGCGUCCACGGCGCACCGGAGCGCGGUGACCGCGGCCGCGAACCAGCCGUCGAGGAAGACGCACAUGAGCGGCGCGCUGACGGACACGGCGUACAGGAAGAGCGGGUCGACCAGGAGCCCCGCCGCGCAGGCGAGCAGGUACGCGCGGUCCCACUCCGUCCCCCAGCUACUACUCGCGCGCGGGUGCCACGCCCCGCGCCGGCGCUUCCCCCGCGUCGUGGCCGCCGUCUGCGGAGGCAGCCUGCUGUCGUCUUGCUCGCCGGCUCUGAUGAUCCGCGGCGCGCCGUGAGGGGACGGGGACGGGGACGGCGACGGCGACGGCGACGACGACGAGGCCGCGGCCAGGCGCGGCGAGAGCUCGGCUGGCAUGGCCGAUCGAUGGCGUGGAUGAUGGAUGCUGCUACUGAGUGUGAGUAGUGACUAGUGACGACGACUACGCGUGGACAGCCGGCCAGGCCAGGUGGUGAGGCCGUGGCAUGUGGGUGGGGUGAUGGAGCAGAGUGGACGGCGUCCGCAGGACUCGACGCGUGAGGGGACGGAUAUAUAGCAAGCACUGGAAGCAGCUACGCCGGUAGCAAGAGCGCAGUACGUACCUGUGAAGUGUGAACCUCACCUCCUCGUCGUCGCGUUGUGCACGCGCGGCGCGGACGCACGUACGUACGUGCUUUUGGUGACGGAAUCCAACCUAACUGGCGUUUGUCGCCAUGCAUGCGUGCUCUACCGCGCGCGCCUGGUGAUGCUGAAGUUUUUUUUUUUUUUUUUUUUGCUUCUAUCUGUUCAUUAUUCGCGCAGAAUUGAUUGGCAGAUAAAGAGACACAGAAACGCUGCGAACCCGGCUGUGCAUCUCCACUCGGAAAGGAAGCAAAGCUGUUAGCCUCGGGAACUGGAACAGUUCACAAGUGAACAAGGUGGCCACAUCACCUGUCCGGCGUCCAUGGAAUGGAUGGUGGCAUCGCGUUCAGGUCCGGUCCCUGUUCUGCUUCUGCCCGGCCGCUGCUAUAUAAAUUUGGCGCCGAGCUAGCUUUUGGUACUGACUGUUUCUGCAGUUUCUGGAGUUUCCAUCGGAGGUUUUCUGCAGUUCGAGCCAAGGAUCAGGUUUUCGCUAGCUGCAUCCUGCCGGUUAUUAGUUGCUAAUAAGUGUGGGUGUGGGUGUGUGGCUCAGGUAUAUAUGAAGCUACUGCUAAUGAUGGAUGCCAAAUCAUCUUCAUGCAUGUUAACUACGUGAAGACGUGUCUACUUCAUAUGAGUAGGUACGAACUGCUCCGGCUAAAUUAUUGUCCACGUGUGAUGCGGGGGUAUAUGAUUUAUGUAUAUUUUUUUUGCUAUGCUUUUUAAUUAAUUAAUUCAUCAUGAGCUUAAUGAGAUUGAUAUUGAUAGGAUGUCUUCACUUCAGAGAACGGGAAACAACUCACAUGGAGUUAAGUGUGGCAAAUUCAGAUGGCUGCCGCAAGCAUGACUCUAUGUAGCCUGAGGCGACUGAAACAGGUUGAGAGCCAACGAUUUAUUGUAUUGAUCUCAUGUGUACUUAUAUUUAUUUAGAAAAAGAAUGUUUGGAGUGCUAACUACCGUCCUAGAUCGACCAGCGGGGGUGCAGGGUGUGCAAAGAGCCAGCAGGGCCAUCCAAGAAAAUUCAGGACCCUACGACGAAACUCUAAAAAGAGGCCUAAGCUUAAGUACUAAAAUAAAAUGAUAAUAAUAAAGAGCUUUGUUGUGGUACUCCUAAAUAACUAUAUGUAUACUUGUUUAUGUACUUAUUUUAUUAGAUCAGUAAAGUUUAUGGCUCAAUUAUUAACAUUGUUGAUAUUUUUCAUGUAUGUACAGUAAAAUAUAUUUUUAUAGUUGAGGCACACAAAAGGAAGGAUACGGCCAUGCGCGUGAAAAAUGACCAUCAUAAGAGUACCUUCAUAAGAGGGAUUUGAGAAUAUUUUGUACUUUUUCUAGAUUAAUUAACUAAUUAAUUUAAAAGGCUAAAAAAUGGUGACUCAGAUUUAUUUAAGGUAUUACUCCGUAUCUCCUAAUAAUAGUCAAAGGAGUACCAUAAUAUUGCCCAAUAAUAAAUAGUAUUUAGUUGAAAUCAUAGUUUUAAGUUAUAUUAGCUCAUACUGCACGAAUCUUUACAUUGACUUUCACUUUUUAAGAUAAUUGUUGAUACAACUUUGUUAUCCAUGCAUGUGCUAAAUUUAAACUGUAGUCCUUAUUAUAUAUUUUAUCCUACACCAUAACAUAAACAGUAGUUUAACCCUACAACAAAGACAAUCAAGAUGUUGAAGUUUCCAUAUCAAAGAAUUAUAUUUAUAGUACUAUUUUCUCUAAAACAUAGAGUUUCUAAAAAAUAAAUUGGCACCAUUUGAUUAUAUCAUAGCAUUUCAACCAAAACGUAUACCUAAAGUAAAUGUUUAUAGUUUUGUUGUCAUAAGUAUCAGUAAUAUACAAAAUGAAUUACUGGUGUCAUUGGUAUUUGGUUUGUUAAAGGAAUAUUUUUCAUGAUUAGUAAACUAUUAAAACAAAUGUUUAUCCUAAUAUUUAAGUUAACUUGGUUUAUAUAGUAGUGAACUGAGCGUGGCUCAACUGGUUGGGUUCCUUAUGGUGGAACCUUCCACCUGAGUUUAAGUUUCUAACUUGACAUGAGUACUCGUAUUUUCCUAAAUUUAUUACAAGAUUUAACGACAUUUUUCUUUUAGUGGUAGUCAAUGUGCCCUUACGGUGACUUCGUCAAUCUUGAGGUUUGCCGAUCCAAUUCAAGUCUUUGAAGGUGCUCAUAGGAGCAGGAUACGUGUGUAUGCAUUCAUAGGGGUGAGUGUGCGCUCAUGUAUGCGAGUGUCUGUGUUUGUAACUAAGUCUUAAAAAAACUUGGUUUAUAUAGUAUUAUAUAGUACUUAUGCUUAUUUUUAAUUUAACAGUGAUUGAAGUAUGUAAUUUAGAAACACAUAUAACACAAUUUAUAGAUAUUAGAUUAUUUUCUAUAAUAGUUUAUAUUGGUAUUUAAAUGUGAAUUUGGUGGAUAUUUUAGUUUAUUUAUAAUGACAAUUGUGUUUAAUUAAGAUAAAAUUUAAGAGGUAUAUUUUGAAAUGAUAAAUAUGGGUAUUUUAAUAACAAUUUUGGGGGUUAUUUUGUAUUAUCUUUUAUAAAUGGAGAGGUGUAUCAUUUAUAUAUAAAGUGAAGGAUUUAUUUGAAAUUAUGUUUCCUACUGACAAAGGUAGAUAAUUUAGAUACAAAUUUAGGUUUAUUUUAUUUUUUCAAAUGAAAAAGGUGGAUAUUUUUUAAGAUGAUAAUUCAAGUCUACCAAAUUAAAGUGAUAAUUUGUAAAAUUUAUCUUUUUUUGUGUUUUCCAUGAGGAUUAACAUAGAGGCUCUAUUAGAGGACUCUAAUUAUUAUAUUUAUUAUAUGACAAUUCAAUGAAAAAUAAUAAUAACAACCAAAUUUGAGAGGACAUAUUUUAGGUCCAUAAGCAUUCCAAUUUUAAUAAAGUGGACUAUGCAUCCUUCACAAAUAGAUAAUGUUAAUUUUCGUGACGGUUUAUGCAAUUUUCUGUGUGUUAUUACUAUACUGCCAAGAUAGUUAUCCUGAUGGUUUAUGCAAUAACCGUAAAAAAAUUUCAAAACCAUCAGGGAAAUUUCAAGUUUUUAGUUGUGAUAGUGAUAGAGCGUUGAACCCACUUUUGUACUUUGAUGAACACCUUUGCAUUUGAUGUAACCUUCACAGUUCAUAUACUAGCAUCAUGGAUAGCCAUAUAAUGCAAGAAAGAAAUGAAGAACACACAAUGGAACACACUGCUAUAGUUUUUUUAUUAGAGGUGGUCGUUUUUCGUUAAUGGAGACGGAUAGAGGCAACCCUCUAACAAUAGGUUACGGUUAAUCGUGACUUGAUGGAAGCAGUUGCGCCUGCCCACCUCCAUUAAAACCUCAACGGAGACAGGCGCCAUAGGGCAACCACCUUCGUUAAUAGGCCUUUAAUGGAGGAGGACACUAUACUAGGCCCGCCUUGGUUAACAAAUAAAAUAAAAAUAAAAUAAAUCUAGGUCCUAAAGCCAGCUAGCUUCAGCUUUUGGAGCCGUUGUCAUCCAGACCGUCCUUUCCAUGGUGCCAGCUUGUGUCGACGUCGCUAAGGCUGCUCGUGUGCCACCAUCGCCUGCCUGCUCGCCACGACAAUCAUUCUCGCUUGUGCCGGUUGUUCCACCCGCCACUGCCGUCGUCCGUGCGGCUCCAGCCAACACCAGAUUUGCAAAAGGGGAGAGGGAAGAGUGAGGGAGAUAAAGAGAGGAAGAUAGAGAGAGAUGGGGAGACUGUACCUGCCCCAUCGGUGACAAGACACUGUCCUUCACCGGAUCUGGCUAGCCUCCAUCGAAUCUGGCCGCGCGCCCUCCACCGCUUCCGGCCCGUCUCCUCCUCGCCACUGCCUUCGUUGCCACGUAGAGAGAGAGAGAGCAGUGAGGGAGCAUAUAUUAUAUAUAUGUAUAUAAAAGAGAGAGAGGGAGGCAUGAGAAAGAGAGAUAGGCCAAGCUUGUAAAUCGAGAGAGAGAUAGACUGUACGUCAUUGCCUUUUUAAGUUUAUAUUUCUUUUAUACCCAUGACAAGUGGACGUCGUAGACACAUGGCGAGCCACGAGUGGCCACCAGCCCUGCUUCUGGAUCAUUGACGUGGAGUAGCACAUGUCUUGGCGGAGCAUCCACGAAGACGGUUAUUUUAUAACGACUGCCUCUCUUAGUUCAUUAACAGAGGUGGUCGUUUUAAAAAGUCCGCCUCUAUCAAUAGAUUAAUAGAGGCAAUUGUUAUUAUAGAGUCGUCUCAGUUAAUCGAUAAUUAAUGGAGACGGUGGUUUUAAGGCAACCGCCUUCGUUAAAGUUUAACCGAGGUAGGCUUUUAGGAGGCGAGACAUGGCUCGGAACAACGGAGGCCGUCCGGAUGUGUGCUCGUCUCCAAUCAGAAAAGGGUAACACCAUAUAAAAAAAUAAUAAUUCUGUAGCAGUGACAUGAGACACACAAACUGACAAUCAUUUUCUUGCCACAUCUGUUACAGCGCCAUACUGGAACAGAGUGACGACAGAGGACUCCAUAACAGUACAGGAAAGUAUAAAUAUUCAGCGCGGACCUUAGUUAUAGGCAUAGCAGCUAAGGCUCGUAGACGAAAACACAUAUAGGAGUAUUAUAUGAGACCCCUCCCUUAUUCAGAGCACGAACAUCACACGAACAUAACGAAGACGUUGUACGCAGGGUGCCUUCAAACUCUAUCAAGCGUGAGCGGCAUCAAGGCAAACCCACUGGCCGAUGAAGACCUUCUGGCAGUUGAUGUUGGGGUUGAAGCUGAGGAACUGCUUCAGGGUCAGCCCGGCGGCCUGCGCCACGGCGAAGCAUGUCUCCCGCUCCUGCACCCCGUACACCUUGUUGCAGACCAGCGGCGACACCGGCGGGACUGCUGCGUCCGCCAGGGUGACCGCGACAAGGAGACACGCGAUCACAAGAGCGGCCGUGCCACGGUUCGCCAUUGCAAGUAUUGUGCACGUCAAGGAAUGAAGCUAGCUACCUAGCGAGAAUGAGCUAGUAUGUUUGAGCUUGAGGCUUUUGCUGGUUCGUGCCUUCUUAUAGCGUGGCGAGUGCAAAAGCCAACAGGCGAUUACAAUGUACGUGACAAAAUGACAUGUGAAUUCUUCUUCGACCUUGGAAAUGGAGUCAGUUCCAGCCAAAAUGGUGAUACUACUAACGAACAUGUCGCUGUUGCACAUUAGCAAGGAGGCCAUUAUCUUGCCUGAGGUGAAACAAGUCGAAGUUUCAUCUGGUUUAUUUGCUUGGACUCUUGUUCGGCUUCUUCCCAAGCAAAUAAACCAGAUGAACUCAGGGGAUACCAUUGAUGAACCACCUAAAGGCAUCCGUUCUUUUGUACGUCCGGGAUCAAGUGAAGAAUCAUUGGCCAGACAGAGGGUGAGUUUAUGGUUCCUAUGGAAGUAAUAAGAUUCAUAAUUUCCAUCUUUGGCUAUGUCGAAAUGGUAUCCUCUUUGUACAUAUUUUGGAUUCUUUUACAUAGAUCUAUUUCGUAUUCUUUGGCUAUGUCGAAAUGAUAUCCUCUUUGUACUUAGUCCCUCGUCCUGGAAUAGAGUACAUUCUGGCAUUUGAGAGGUCCCCCAAAUAUAGUGCAUUUGGGGAAAAAAUAACAUUUACUUUAAUAAAAAUACGAAAGAUGAAAGUAAUUGAGUGCUUACCAUAUUGUCUAUAACUAAACUUAGAUUGCACCAUUUAAUUACGUGGAAUAGGAUCAAAUUUCAAUAAAUUAUAAAGUUAAGUAAAGGGUACAUGCGUCUAUUGCUCUCACUUAUUUUGUCUAAAAAUAGCCACAACAGUAGGAAGUUAAGGGAUACAUGUGUCUAUUGCUCUUUCUUAUUUUGUCUAAAAAUAGCCAUAAUUAAUGUAAUAUAUUCCAGGACGGAGGAAGUAUUUUUGAUAAAAUUUGGACGAUUCUAUUGGCUGAGAUGACACCCAAGAUUGCGCCCUUUGGCUUGCAGGUUUUUUUUUCUUUGAAAAUAAACUGAUUACUAUAAAAUUGUUGCAUAAUUUCUGUAAAAUUUGUGUGGUCCAAAGGAGCUUAAAUAUGGUAACCUAGCGCUGAUGUGAUGUAAAGUAUUGGUUAACCCACCUUCUAGUCACAAAUAAUCGAUCUUUGGACAUUGAAAUGGUUUCCAAAACCUUGAGUAGAAGAUUUUGCUACAAAUUAUUAUUAAACUUGACAGACAAAUCUAUCGACGCCAUUUUAAUUAUCUGGACUCAAUACAUAAAAUGUAAUAUGCAAUCGAGGUUUAGAACAGCCACUACUGGACUCGCAUGGUUUGCGAAGGGCCUAAAACCUAGACAUCUUCAAAGCACCAUUUCUCUCGUUGCAGGUGUAUCGAUCGGGACGACUACAUCAGCAAAGUACCAAGUCUUUCACUGGUGCUUCCAGCUCCGCUGCAGGGUAUACAACUUUUAAACAUCCUCUUUCAUUCGUUGAUCAAAACCUUGCUGGUUAGCGUUGUUUGGAUGAUGAUCAUGCUUUGUUUGCAUAAUAAGUUGAUUAGUGACUUCAGAACUUGAUUAGUGGCUUCUUAUUAUGUCAUGAUGGCUAUAAACUAGUACUUGAAUCUAAUAAGUGUGUUGUGUCUAAAUAUGAAACCUUUAUUGGCAAGGGCUAUGAGAGCGGAGGCUUGUUCCCCUUGUCUUUGAUUGAUAUUUGUUUUAAGUCUGUAAACCAUGUGGUGAAUAAUGUUGAGACAAUCAUUUGACAUUCGAGGUUAUGUCAUGUUAAUUUUGGUUGCAUGUCCCGCUUAGCUAGUUUAAAUUUAAUCUCAAAAUUUGAUAUGCUCAAAAGUUCUAAGUGUCAUGCUUGUGUUGAAGCAAAACAAUCUUAUAAGCCUCACAAGGCUGCUGUGACGAGGGAGUUGGCACCGCUUGAGCUUGUUCAUUCUGCUAUAUGUGAGAUGAAUGGGAUAUUGAUCAAAGGUGGUAAGAGAUAUUUCAUUACCUUUUAUAGAUGAUUGCACUUAAUUUUGCUAUGUGUAUCUAAUGAAAACUAAAGAUGAGGCGUUGCACUAUUUUAAAAUCUAUAAAGCUGAGGUAGAGAAUCAACUUGAGAAGAAAGUCAAACGGCUACGGUCCAAUCGCGGGGGAGAGUAUUUCUCUAACGAAAUUUCUAUGUUCUACGUGGUAUAUGGAAUAAUUCAUAAGAGGACGCCACCAUACUCACCUCAAUCUAAUGGGAUUGCUAAGAGAAAAAACCGCACUCUAACUGAUUUAGUGAAUGCUAUGUUGGAGACUGCAGGUUUAUCUAAGGAAUGGUGGGGUGAGGCUAUUUUAACAGUCUAAAUAGACUGCUCACAAAGAACAAAGAAAUUACACCAUUUGAGGAAUGGGAGAAGAGAUUAAAUCUUUCUGACCUGCGGACUUGGGGAUGUUUGGAAAAAGUGAAUGUGCCAAUAAACAAAAAGCGAAAGCUUAGACCAAAAACUGUAGAUUGUGUUUUCCUUGGCUAUACUAUUCAUAGUGUGGGCUAUAGAUUUUUAGUAGUAAAUUCUAGUGUUCCUGAGAUGACUAUUGACACAAUCAUGGAAUCUAGAGAUGCAAUAUUUUUUGAAGAAGAAUUUCCCAUGAAAAAUUAUACACCUAGCAUAUCUCAUGACACUAUCUCUAUCCCUGAUUCUCAUGAACAGAUAGUACACUGGUGAUGAAACCCAUGAAGAAAUUCCUAAGGAGGACAAUAACAUAGUCACUCGAAAGAGUAAGAGACAAAGGGUUGUAAAAUCCUUUGGUGAGGACUUUAUUAUAUACCUCGUGGAUGACACUCCAACAACCAUGGUUGAAGCAUAUUUCUCUCUUGAUGUUGACUUGUGGAAGGAAGUGGUUCAAAGUGAGAUGGAUUCUAUCCUAUUAAAUGGGACUUGGGAAGUGGUUGAUCGUCCUUAUGGAUGUGAACCCGUGGGGUGCAAAUGUGUGUUCAAGAAGAAGCUAAGUCCUGAUGGUACUGUUGAGAAGUACAAGGCAAGGCUAGUGUCCAAAGGCUAUACACAAAAGGAAGAAGAAGAUUAUUUUGACACUUACUCACUAGUUGUUCCAUUGACGACCAUUUGAGUGCUUUUAUCCGUGGUUGCCUCACAUGGUCUUCUCGUUCAUUAGAUAGAUGUUAAGACAAGUUUCUUGAACGGAGAGCUUGAUGAAGAGAUCUAUAUGGAUUAGCCUGAUGGAUUUGUUGCAAAAGGUCAAGAUGGUAAGGUUUGUAAAUUGCUGAAAUCCUUGUAUGACCUGAAGCAAGCUCCAAAGCAAUAGCAUGAGAAAUUUGAUAAAACUUUAACAUCAGUUGGCUUUGCAGUGAAUGACGCUGAUAAAUGUGUAUAUUAUCGGUUUGGUGGAAGCAAUGGUGUCAUUUUGUGCUUGUAUGUGGAUGAUAUUCUAAUCUUUGGAAAUAAUAUUAAUGUGAUUCAAGAAGUGAAAUAUUUUCUAUCUAAUAACUUUGAAAUGAAAGACUUGGGUGAGGAUGAUGUCAUUCUUAACAUCAAGCUACUAAGAGAAGAAGGAAAUAGUGGGGUAACUCUUGUACAAUCUCACUAUGUGAAAAAUAUACUAAGUCGCUUUGGGUACAGUGACUGUGUACCUGCUCCAACUUCUUAUGCCCCAAGUGUGAUGGUGAGAAAGGAUUAGAGAAUUUCAAGAGAUCAACUGAGACACUCUCAAUUAAUUGGUUCUCUAAUGUACUUGGCUAGCGCCACGAGACCUGAUAUCUCAUUUGUUGUAAGCAAUUUAAGUCGGUUUGUGUCAAAUCCGGGAGAUACUCAUUGAAGUGAUCUUGAGAGAGUACUGUGCUACCUGAAAGGUACAAUGAGCUAUGACAUCCACUUUUCCAGGUAUCCAAGGUACUGGAGGGUUACUAGGAUGCUAAUUAGAUUUCGGAUGCUGAUGAGCCAUACGUCACAAGCGAAUACGUAUUCUUGCUUGGAGGUGGCAUUGUUUCUUGGAAGUCUUGCAAGCAGACUAUCUUAACAAAGUCUACAAUGAAAACAGAACUGACAACAUUAGAUACCACUGGCGCUAAGGCUGAGUGGCCAUGAACUCCUUAUAGAUUUAUCGGUUGUGGAAAAACCUAUACCGGCUAUUUUUAAUAACUGUGACAACCAAGCUGUGAUAACAAAGGUGAACAGUUCUAAGGAUAACAUGAAGUCUACAAGGCAUGUGAAACAUCAUCUAAAUACUGUUAGAAAACUGAGAAACUCUAGAGUAAUUGCAUUGGACUAUAUCCAUACAACUAAGAAUCUGGCAGAUCAGUUCACUAAGGGUCUAUCACACAAUGUGAGAAGGUGUGUCGAGGGAGUUGGGCUUGAGACCCACUUGAAAGUCACUUCAUAGUAGAAACCUGUCCUAUGUGAUCACUGAUCAGAGAUCCAUAAAUUAGGAUGGCGAAACAAGCAAGUGUACGACUGAGGGAGAAACUCCUUAGAAUAAAGUCCAGCUCAUUUGAGAUGCACCAUUUCUCCAAUAGUGUAAUGUAGGUCGAUUAAGUUCUUAAUAUGAUCUGAGUGGCUUGGCUAAGCAGGGAUGUUGUCCUAAAGAACAUCCUAAAAAGAACGCACCUAUAUGAGUUCGAUUGCUACUCACAAUCUAUGAGAUGAGGGUCAUCUCUAGAUACUCAUGAAAAGACUAAGAAGUGUGAAUUAUAUGAUUCAAACAGAGAGGAUGCUCUUUGCUGCCUAGUACUAGUUAAGGGCUCUAGUAAAACUGAUCUCACACAAAACUACCAAUUUAAGGUUUUAUCCAUUGUUUAGUUGUGGCUGAGUGUAGCUAUUGCUCUAGAUGGAUGUUCAACUUAAAAGUCUCCAUUGAAACUCUGGUAUAUAAAAAGAAUGUGGUACUGAGACUGAUUUGCAUCGAACCCUAGAGUCCGGUGGGGAUUGUUAGAUAUUAUAUGGGCUUGGCCCAUUAAAUAUUUAAUGAAUCAACUAAACUCUACGGUCUGAUUAAAUGCCUAUGAUUUUAACUGAAGGUUUACUCAACUUAAAUGUUUGAUCCUUGGUCGGUUAGCUUGAGAAGUUGAGAAAAGAAUAGAUGGGUGUCACACGCGCGCGGACGGAUGAGGCGAGGCAGGCAGGCUUCGACAAGCGAGUGGACAGGCAGCGAGCCUUUAUCACUUAGGUCCAUUGAUGGCUAGAGUUGCAACUAGUGGUAAUCAAUAGAGGAGUUUUUCCUGUACCGUCUGCAUCCGCUCGCUCUCCCUCUUCCUAGCGCCUAGGACUCAAUCCCUUUGUCUCCCUCCUUCUGGUACCUAUAAACCAAGAGACUCUCUCCUUCGGUUGAUCUCUCUCGGAAAAAAUCACAACCUAGCAGCUCCUGAGUCUCUCCAUUCCAUCUCCUACGCGCACUCGAGAUGGAAGAGUAGGCCUCUAGAAUGUCUCUGUCCAUCGGGUUCACCUGCUCGGUGAGGACGACAAUCACGUUUUUGGGGGCAGCGGCACGACUACUCGCUUCGUCCCCUCCCUGUUCCCGGCGCUUGCAGGGUCUUCCUCCCAGCGUCAGGGUUCACGGCUUCUUAUCGGCACUGCAUCGAUCGGAACGACUACAUCAGCAAAGCACCAUACCAUGUCUCUGCUGGUGCUCCGGCUCUGCCGUAGGGUAUACAACUUUUAAACAUCCUCUUGUUUUGUUGAUCAAAACAUCUUGGAUGAUGAUCAUACUUUGUUUGCACAAUAAGUUACAUGAUGCUACUCUGAUCAGUGUUGUAUCUAUAUUCAUGAUGUUUAAUCUAAACAAACACAUAUACGAUACCAUGAUUAUUUUGUGAAAAUCUUACUUCCAGAAUAAAUUAAACAUGAAUUUACCUAUAUUUCUAACAGAUUUCACAUUUCACCACGGUGACGACUGAUCAAUGAAGGCCGGGGAUACCAUUUGAGAAGAAUAAACCACCUAAAGGCACCCGUUCUUUUGUCGGGGAUCAAGUAAGUGAAUCCUUGGGCAGCCAGAGUAGAAUUUAUGAUUCCUAUGCAAGUAAUAAGAUUCAUAAUUUACAGCGUGUAGUUUUGACUGAACAACAUCUUUUACAUUAAUUACAUAGGUAUUCUAUUUCGGAUUCUUUGGCUCUGUCGAAAUGGUUGUACAUAUUUUUGAUACAGAUAAAAUUUGGACGAUUCUAUUGGCUGAGACGACACUGAAUGUUACUACAAAAGGUAGGAUACAAGGUGUAAAUAGUCAGAGUAUGCUAAUCAUUAUAAUGUGGUAACCUAGCGCUGAUGUGACGUAAAUGAAUUGUGUUAUUGUCUACCGUACCCUGGUCCCUGGGCCUGUUUGGAUUCGUGAGCCAGACAAAUCCUCAAGCAAUUUGCUUAGCUUGGGGUGGAUGCUGGCUGCCUGGCGUUAACCUCCAGGCCAGGGCACGAAGCAAAUACGCCCAAAGUGUUUUCGGCGUCAAAAUGGUUUCCAAAACACGAUUUUGAGUAUAAGUUUUUCCUUGUUUUGAAAAAUCCAAACUCAUUAAUACAUAAAAGGUAAUAUGCAACAAAAGUUUACAAUGGUUAACUUUUUUUAGACGAAAGAAGAGUACAUCAUCAUGUUACAAACAUUCUAGAAUACACUAUGUAUAUCUAGAAACUGAUCUUUAUUUAUAUUGUACCCACGCUUUGUGUAGGACAAAUAAUGUGCUAGAACUAGAACACAUAAGUUUUAAUUUUCUGAAGAGGUUGGCUGCAGGAACUGACAGCUGCCUUGGACGUCACAAAGCGCCCUCACGUGAUCUUUUCUAGGCGGAUGCGGAGCUAGAAAUAUGAAUUAUUUUCUAGGCGGGGUAGCAAUGAUCUUUUUCCAAAAAAGAAAUGAUGAAAUUUUAAAUCUUUUAGUGGAAAUUGUAUGGACUUUACGGGGUCUUGCCUCUUAUCUCCGCCACUAAGACCCGUCUCAGUGGGUUUUAUAGUUACAUUUGCAUUUAAUACAGUGGCGUAGUUAGGAUUUGUAGUUAUUUACUUUUUUUAACCACUAUAAAUUUAAUAUGUCGGUAGACAAGUAUAUACGAAAUGAAAUUAAUUAGGGAAAAAAGGUCGAGUUAAUGAAAUAUGUCGAUACAGCUUUCUUAACAUAGAAUUAAAAUAUUAUAUACCCAUAAUAGUUGAAGAAAAAAAAUGUCACUACUUCUUGUCAGGCUCGCGCCGUCUAAUAGCCAUGAAAGUGUUGAUGAUCUUAUCUUCACUCAAUUAUAAGAGGUUAUUUCGCCCAAUACAAAUGACUAGACAACCAUCCUGAAGGCUAUCACCCAUCUUAUUUUGAACUUAUUCUUGAUAAUAGCUAAUGCAUGAUGCAUUAGUCUCUAGCUCUAGGGAAAGAUUGAGAGAAAAAAUAGAAACAUGACUAAACGAACAUGCUAAUUGAAUAAAGAUGUUGAGAUGUACUACAGAGGGCUGUAUACAUGACUAAACGAACAUGUAAUUGAAUGAAGAUUUUAACACGUACUACAGAGGGUUGUAGUGCUUCUCGCCAUUCGGCGCCGCCGGCCCGAAGCCACCGCUUUGAGUAUUAUAUGAAUCACAACACAGCGAGGGAUACCAAGGGACACAGGCUAGCCACAAAUAUACCUGGGCAACGGGCCGGCCCGGCCCGGCCCGGCACGUUGCCUAAUGGGCCGAGGGGGCCCGUCGUGCCCUGCGGGCCGUGCCUUACCGGCCUGCGGGCCUGACCUCCGGCCCAGGCACGGGCCCGUGGGCCUUUUUGUGUACCGGGCGGGCCCGUCAGGCCGGGCCAGCCCAUAGCCCGUUGAACAAUAACAUAUCAAUAAACACAGAUUUAAAAGCAUAUUUCAAACACAUUCAUCAAUUCAUCACUCCAUCAGUAUAAAAAACACAUUCAAAUACAUAUGACAGAUGUAGAGAAUAGAUUUAGAUAUCAAAAUGAGUUAUUUUAUACAAUGUUGUUAUUUGACGGGCCGGGCCGUGCCGGCCCUCGGGCCUGAAGUGCGGCCCAAGCACGGCCUGCAGGCCCGUGCCGUGCCAGCCCGGGCCCAAUGACCUUCGGGCCGGGCCGGGCCAAAAUGACGGGCUUCGGGCCGUGCUCACGGGCUCGGGCUGCAUGCCCAUGUAUAGCCACAAAGAACUGUCACUCGCACGAUGCCUAACCUGAAAGGCCGUGAUUGGUCCAAAAUAUUUGCUACCGAUGAUCUGUAUUUUCCUAUACCGAGUCUUAGACGGGACGAGCACAUGGUGGUCCAUGGAACACCCAAACCACCAUCUCGCUCCGCCCAUGAUUUAAUAGGUUAAAAAAUAAGCAUUUUUAUGAUGCAAUCAUGUUAUUUAGAAGAGGGAGAAGAUGUGAGUUUUAUGAGAAUGAAAUUCUCUUCAACUCAUUUCCCACUCUAGAUGAAUCAUACAAUUAAAUGCUUAUGAAACAAAAAGUAAAACUAUGUUUCAUUGUACUCAACAUUUUGGAAAACAACCAAUGAGAGUCUAAGAUAGGGGUAUGUUAGACCCUCGGGUUAAGGGCAUGACAGUCCGACUAACCCCUCGACUGAUUCUCCUAAUCGGCUAGGGGCUUGUGGGCUACACCCAUCGGAUUUUCUCACACACACACACACUCUAGCAAACAGGGGAUGACUCAGUGGUCCGUAGAUGGCACUCUCUAGAGGGAAUCCCAGGUGUCAGAAGGGCAUGCCUUCGCUUGUGAGCUCGGACAAGGCAUAGAGAGUUCCCAACCUAGGAGAGCUCCAGCCGAACAAAACACCCAAUGCUCACCCUAACCUUAGCUUGGGUUGAACGUUCACCCAAGCAAUGCCAAAAACCAACCCUAGAAUCUAAGCUUGACAACCAUAGAAUCCACAUGGCGUUAUCGGCCAAUCCCUCGGCAGGAUCAUGCUCGGGACAUGACACAUUUGGACAAGGAACUUCCCCAAAACCACAUAGUGUGAGGCUUUAGGCCCGCUUGGUAGCUCUUUUGGGGAGAAGGGGAAUAAAGCUUGCUACGCCAAGGAAGCUAGGAGAAGGUUCACCCACGAAAGGCACCAUUGUAGCAGACAACACCUAGCGGUCAACACUAGGUUGUAGCAGUGGCGUUAGGAGGUGGUUGCGAUUUUGUCGGUCUCUAGCUACAAGGUACAGGAGGACAGGCGGUGCCACGAAAGAUGAAGACCAAAGCAUAGAGCAAGAAAUCCUAGGAGAAACCAUUCAACUUGUACUCACAUGGCCUCCAUGGCAAAUAAGAGAAGGCAUGGACUCUUGUAGAAGAGAUCGGAGACUAAGCCAUAGAUAGGGAUUGGAAGAUUGAACCAUAGAUGAUCAGUCAACCGAGCCCGAUCAAACCCUAGAUUAGCAUAACAUCGCUCACUACAACUAACUCUUGAUUUCUACGUUGUAAGAACUCUUAAAUGAGCAUUUCUAACAUGAACAAAACACCAAUGUUGGACGCAAAGGCUUAGAUGCCCGAACCAAGGUAAACCCCUUGUGUUUUUAGUGCUUAAGCCACUAGAGGUACACACAUCGACCCGCAUUGGAUAACACAAUCACUGCCACAGUGAUGAACCCACGAUAGUUGGUGCAUCGUGUAGGGGGCAGUGUCAUGUGUGAUAUGAUUGCCACCUGUUGCAGGGUCAAAACCGUGACAAGCAUUGUUGUUCAUCGGUGUCAUUGGGUGUGUGUCUGGUGGCUCAGGUAGACUCAAGAACACAAAGAUGACAAAGAGAACACAAUAUUUUAUCCUGGUUCGGGCUAUCGGGGACCUAUGUCCAGUAGUAGAUAAUCCUUAUACUCAAGAGCACCCAAAAUUAGGAGGUACAAUAGAGAGAGAGAGAGAGAGAGAGAGAGAUUUGGCAAGGGAUUGCUCGGUGCUGAUCGUAGAGCUUCAUUGCUAGUGAGGUCUUCCCCUUGUCAGAUAGGAGGAAGACGAUGGAAGAGGGGAGAAGCUCUAGGAUUCCUCUCAAGGUGGCUUUGCACUUGGUGCUGAGCACAAGCUAUUCGGUGAUGACCAGAAUGAUCUAUUUGGAAUCAUCCUCUCCCUCUCUAGGAUCUGACCUCCCCUUAUAAAUCAAGGUAGGUGAGUACAUGGCUGUUUGGGGUUGUUUAGCCUAUGGUCUAUGUGCGUUGGAGUCCAGGAGGGUCUUGUAGCAGCGUGAAUGGACCUUGGUGUUGUGGUGGAGCCAAAGAAGCCCUAGGCAUUGUCUGGCUCCUCUAUUUUGACACGCGGAGUGUCAGGAGCUAUCGGCUUGGAUCGGCCUCCACCAAGUGCACCUUCUAGAGGCUUCUUGGCAGUGAAGGCAACUAGGUGGAGGGGCUGAUAAGAGGGCCUAGAAGCUCCUGAGCCCCUAAAGCUAGUCGGAGGGGUUUUUGUACCCUUGUGUCACGUUGUGUGUGUGCCCCUGUUGCAGGAGUGGUUGACAACACUGCACCUGCUAGGUAGUGCCCUCGAGCCUUAGAGGCUCGGGGAGCCUAUCUGUAGCUCAGGCUUUGGCUAGCACCAAAUCCUAGGAAGGGGGCAAGGAUUGUACUCGAGCCCUUGUCGAUCAAGAGCCUAAGGCUCGAGCGUGCCCUCGAGCCCCGAGCAGAGGCGAUGGGCACCUGUCCCUAACCUUAUAUAUGUAUACUUACUUGGUCUAUGUGGUAGUGAAUAGAGUAAUAUUUGUGCUUACUUUUAAUUUAACAACGGCAAAAGCUAGCAAUUUAGAAGCAUAUAACAUACUUUAUGGCUAUUACACUUUUUUUUGCAAUAAAUCAUAUUUAUAUUUAAACAUGGAUUUGAUGAAUAUACUUGUUUAUUUAUAAUGAGGAAUUUAGAUAAUUUUAAAGGGGUAUCUUUUAUAAUGACCACUGUGCAUAAUCUAAAAAUAAAUUUAGAAAUUACUUUGCAUCGUCUUUGAUUUUAAUUUAUAUAUAAAUUUAGAUGAUCAUUUGAAAUUGUCUAUCAUAGCGAUCGAGGUAGGUAUUUACAUGCAAAAUUAGGGUUACUUUAUGUAUUUUUCAUAAUAUAACAUGAAAGGUGGAGUUUUUUUAGAAAACAGAUUAAAUUUAGUGGCUAUGAUUAGUGUUGAUGGUAAAAGUAUACUAAAUUAAAGGCCAGCUGUCUCCGAGAAUUUGUAGGAUGUUUUCUAGCACUUCUCUUGAUUAGUACUCCCUUCAUCCCAAAUUAUAAGUCAUUCCAAUAAUCUUGAAGAGUCAAAUCGUCUCAAGUUUAACUAAAUUUAUAUUAUCAUAAAUUUUUAUGAUAUUAACUAAGUAUCAUUAGAUUCUUUUCUAAUUAUAUGAAACCUAUUUCAUAUUAUAAAUCUUUGUAUUUUUUCUAUAACUUUGUUCAAACUAUAGAUACUUUGACUCUCCAACAUUUUUGGAAUAUUUAUAAUUUAGGAUGUAGUGAGUAACCUAUAGGCUCCCUUAUGGGCCUCUAAUUAGGGCACUUACAACAGCCAACUCUAAGAUAAUAUUAAAUAGAUGUCAUGUGGAGAAGAGAAAUUAAAAACAUUUGAGCUAGCGAGUAGAGAAGAGUUAAACUCUUUGCGCGUAACAUGAGAGACAUAACUCCUUUAUCCUUUUUUUACAGAGAAUAUAUAAAUAAAAAAUACUUUACAUGUGAAGCAUACUUCCUUUAUUCUAAAAUAAGUGUCCGUCUCAAUUUUCAAGAAUAUUUAUGAGAAAUUAUUGUAAUUAUGGCAUAUUUAUAGAUAACAUUAGAUUCUACUGAAUAUAUUUUCGUAAUGAAUUUAUUUAGAUAUACAAAUGUUACUAAUUUUUUUAUAAAUCUAGCCAAACUCAAGAAAUUUAACCAGCACAAAAACCAAAUGAUAUUUGGGGGGGUGGGGGGGGGGGGGGAGAGUACACCAUAAAUUUGACCUGAGCACUAUUGGAGGUACACAGAUACAUAGCUAGCAGGCGUAGAAUGUAGAACUCUGUUUUGUACUUCGAUGAGCACAGCACCUUUGCAUUUGAUGUAACCGUCACAGCCCAGAUAUGAGUACCAUGGAUAACCAUACAAUAUGCAAGAGAGAAACGAAGAACACGGAAUGGAACAUGAGACACAAUUGAACUGACGUUCAUUCUCUUGAGCUUGACACAUCGGUUACAGUUUCACACCGCAACAGAGUGAUGACAGAGGACUCGAGAACAGUAGAGGAAAGUAGAAAUAUUCUGCGCGGAGCCGCGUACCUUAGUGUUAGCAACUAAGGCUCGUAGAGGUAAACAUAGACAUGAGACCCCUCCUUAUUCAGAGCACGAACAUUCUUGCUUGGGAAAUACAGUAUAUAUAGAGCACGAACAUAACGAUCGACGUUGUACGCAGGGUGCCUUGCAUGCCUUCGAACUCUAUGAAACGAUAGUUGCAUCAAGACAAACCCACUGGCCGAUGAAGAGGUUCCGGCAGUUGAUGUUGGGGUUGAAGCCGAGGAACUGCGUCAGGGUCAGCCCGGCAGCCUGCGCCACGACGAAGCACGUCUCCUGCUCCUGCACCCCGUACACCUUGUUGCAGAACAGCUGCGACUGCGGCGGCAGCGGCGGGGCUGCUGCGUCCGCCAGGGUGACCGCGACAAGGACGCACGCGAUCACAAGAGCGGCGGUGCCACGGUUCGCCAUUGCAAGUUUUGUGCACGCCAAGGUGAGCUAGCAGAACUGACAGGUGUGUAUGUGUAAGCUUGAGGUCAGCUCUGCUGCUGUGGUGUGGCGAGGGACCGGC
rnacentral:lncRNA from 1 species